UCCUAGCCUGUGGUUAUUCUGCCUUAC
rnacentral:piRNA from 1 species